CUGCAGCCAAUCAGGCCCCCUGUGCUCUUUUCUCUGUGGAGGCCUGGUGUGCAAUGGCUGCAAAAAGCAGCCUCCUCGGUAGUGCAUGCAGCCUACUGCUUGUACGGGUUGCCCUAAAGGACCUUGAAGACAGCC